rnacentral:rRNA from 1 species
UACGUAGGGUGCGAGCGUUGUCCGGAAUUAUUGGGCGUAAAGGGCUCGUAGGCGGUCUGUCGCGUCUGCUGUGAAAACUCAGGGCUUAACCCUGAGCUUGCAGUGGGUACGGGCAGACUAGAGUGCGGUAGGGGAGACUGGAAUUCCUGGUGUAGCGGUGAGAUGCGCAGAUAUCAGGAGGAACACCAAUAGCGAAGGGCAGGCUCGUGGGGACCG